rnacentral:sRNA from 1 species
GCAUUGAAGAUCCCCCGCCAUGCAUCACACAAUGCCGCCAUGCUUCCCGCUAUGCAUGUUUAUUUCAAAGCAAAAUUCUUUUUCCAAUUAUUACACAUCUUAACUGUAAUUAGUAGAUAUAAAGUUGUCGUUUCUCCGCUCAAACUUCAGGAAAAACACUUGCACCCGCAGUGAGCGCAGUUAAUUUCGACAUCGAUCUCAGCAAGGGGGCACACGUGGUUUACGGUUUAAGGACUUAGCUUAUGAUUAAGAUAUAUUAAAACUGAGUUUAUUAAUUGGUGAUUAAUGCAUAAAUAGAGACGUGAUUACUUCUUGUUUUAAUAUAAUGUGCUUUUUUCGACAUCUCCGCCAUUAUCGAAUGUUGUGGAUUUUCCAAAAUCUAAAAAUAGCACAAUGUUCACUCGAUGGAGUUAGCUUGGAUUCGAUAUGCUUGAACUCUUUAUUUGCCGCAAGGAUAUUGGAAACUUGAAAAAAUGUACAUAAUAAAGAAAGAAAAAACUACAGUUAUUUGCAGAAAUGCACGGAAGCGAUGUCACAUGACUAGAAACAUCGUAUAUUGUAUGCCUAUGAAAAUGAUUGACUGUGUACAUACACAUAAACGGGGAAGGGGACUGGUGUCAAGAUAUCACAGAAACUUUCAUAUGGACCCCCAAUUUAAACAAGAAAUAUUAACUGCCCAGAAUAAGUUGAAUCAAGUUUGCUGUAAUUGUAUGGACUUGUUCUGCCUAUUUCUUGUUCAACACCCCCUAAAAAAAUCUCUUCUAUAUAAUAUGUAGAAGAAGGAGUGGGACAGAAGCUGAUGUUGAACUGCCAUGUGAAUCUAUAUUUCUUGUGUUUUGUGAAAACUUGUGAGGACCAACCUUUUAAAAAACUGAUUUUGAAAAAAAAUGUUAUUAGUUUUGCCAGAAAAAAAACAGAAAAAUUGUAUAUUAAAUAUACACAGAUAUUAAAAUAUAAUUAUGAAUUG